GAAUUCUUGGCAAAAAAAAAAUAUACUGGAGAUUUUAGACCGGGUCAUCUGAGACUUGAGAGCUAUCCUAUGUGAUAUUUAGUUUUAAAGAACAUAUUACUUUGACCCA